ensembl:snRNA U6 U6 spliceosomal RNA
GUGGUCACUUCUUCAGCAUGUACACUAAAAUUGGAACAAUAUAGAGAGGAUUAGCAUGGCCCCUGUGCAAGGAUGACAUGCAAAUUCAUGAAGUGUUCCACAUUUUU